CAAUAGCGUAUAUUAAAGUUGUUGCAGUUAAAAAGCUCGUAGUUGGAUUUCUGGUGGGAGCGAUCGGUCAGGCGCUUAGCGCGAGUACUUGCAUCGUCUCCGGCCAUCCUUGGGGAGAGUCUGUCUGGCAUUAGGUUGUCGGGCAGAGGAUCCUCAUCGUUUACUGUGAAAAAAUUAGAGUGUUCAAAGCAGGCUUAUGCCGUUGAAUAUAUUAGCAUGGAAUAAUAAGAUAGGACUUUGGUACUAUUUUGUUGGUUUGCGCACCAAAGUAAUGAUUAAUAGGGACAGUUGGGGGUAUUCGUAUUCCGUUGUCAGAGGUGAAAUUCUUGGAUUUACGGAAGACGAACUACUGCGAAAGCAUUUACCAAGGAUGUUUUCAUUAA
rnacentral:rRNA from 1 species